UAAUUAAAAAAAAGGAAAAAAAUAUGCGAAAUAAUAAUAAUAAUAAUAUCCACAAAUAAAAACUUAAACUUAAAAAAAAAAAAAAUCAGACAAAAAGGACAACAUCGCCACCCC
rnacentral:rRNA from 1 species